UCUUUGCUGCUAUUUUAGUUAGGAACAUUGCAUGAGGGUGAAGGUAAACUUUGUCUCCAUAGAAGAUUGUAUAGGGUGGUUCUGGUACCAGAGCUCACAGUUCCCCUACUCUCCCAGCAGAGGUAACAGCAAUUGAAAAGGCCACUUGCAUUGAAAGGUGUAGCAGCAAACAGGUGACCAGCAGCUCAAAAGGGGGACUUAUCAGCUUUCCCAGUACUAGGUUCAAGUUCCUGGGGGAAUAGGGUCUUUUACUAGUGGAUCCAGGAGAGCGCAAAGCCGAGACAGCUGCUAGGUGGAUGUUGAUGGAAUUAACACUAACCCUUGUUGUUUCAAGAAGUGGAGAUAGUCCAAUACAUGAUGGAUGGAUGGCCAGGUAAGUACUCCUAGUCAAAGGCUCUCUACUAUUUAAAAACACUUCCUGUACCUCCUUAGAACAUCUCCCUUCCAUGAAGCAACCAGGCCAUCAGGUGGAGGACCUGCAGGAGGAGGCACCUGUGGUCCUGGGAGAUCACAUCUGAAUCCAGUGGGAGUGACAGUGGAGGUCCACCCAGUAGGGCUAGUAAAGCCAAGAACCAGUAUUGUCAGGGCAACACUGGGGCUCUAAGUAUGAGGUGAGAAUGCUCUUCUUUGAUUUUGGACAAGACUCUGGGCAAGAGCGGAACUGGAGGGAAGGCAUACAGCAGGCUGUUUAUCCAGGGUAGCAGGAAGGCAUCUGGCAAAGAAACUGGGCUGUGACCUGCUCAAGAACAAAAUUGAUGGCAUUUUCUGUUGGUCCUGGUUGCACACAGGUCCACUUAGGAGUCUCCCACAACUAGAAAAUGGAUCUGGCCAGAUUUGGAUGAAAGGACCACCCUGAGGGUAAGCAGCUGUCAGGUGGAUGGAGCUGGUGAUACAGAAAUUCCAAAGCCGUAUUGCCUCUUGGCACAAUCUCAUUGACCAGGCUUUUCCUUGUCUAUUCACACAGAACAUAGCCACUCUGUUGUCCACUAGCACCAGAAAACUCUUCCUCUCAAUAUAUGGAAGGAAGGCCAAGCAAGAUAACCAAAUAGCUCGCAAUUCUCUGACAUUUAUGUGUAUUUUCAGAUCUUGCAUAGACCAAAGACUUUGUGUCUGCUGAAACCCCAGGUGUCAGGACCGAUUUCUCCAUGUUGAUUAAUUGCCCUAGCACAUUGAAAGUGGACUGGAUAAGGUGUUGGACAGCACCUGAGAUCUGGACCGGCAUCUCACCAACUAGUCAGCUAGCUGGGUAGGAAUAUGAAUCCUGCAUCAAUGAGUCAGCAAAAUCCAAGUAGCACUUCAGCAGCAUCAGCCUCUGACAACAAGGCUCAUUGCACACUGAGGGAAUGAAGUCUCCUCUCUUCUUCAGAGAUAGAAGAGUAAAUGAAGAUGAAGCUCUGGACACUGGAGGCUCCAACAAAGGCCAUGCAGUGGUGAAAAGGAACUGGAAAGGCAAUUGGUCUGCUCCACCCUUUAUCUCCUUGGUUGGAUGCAUAAUUGGAUGCACGAGAAGAGCAAUGGUGCUUGCAUGGACCAAUGGACAUUGCUUUCAAGAAUUCUCUGACUCCGGAAAUAUGAAGCACAGUGAAAGACACACAGGGAGUAGCGCUUGAAGGCAAACCUAUAAUUUCACAUCUUCCUACAGAUUUUAUAGCAUAUGCCCUCCUGCUGAAACUGCUCUAAAUUGUAUUCUGUAAUUAGUGCAAAGCAGCCUUCUAUUCUGACCCUGUUUUUCCUUUCCUUGCAAUACCUUUGAGAUUUUAUAAUAAAUAUUGUGUGCUCAUGAAAAACAUUCACAUGCAUAUUUUGUUUAUGGAGAUAUGUUUAUUGUUGCCUUCAAUGUUUGUUGGAAAUAUGGAUAUUACUACAAAAAGUGU